rnacentral:rRNA from 1 species
AUUGAACGCUGGCGGCAGGCCUAACACAUGCAAGUCGAGCGGUAGAGAGAAGCUUGCUUCUCUUGAGAGCGGCGGACGGGUGAGUAAUGCCUAGGAAUCUGCCUGGUAGUGGGGGAUAACGUUCGGAAACGGACGCUAAUACCGCAUACGUCCUAAGGGAGAAAGCAGGGGACCUUCGGGCCUUGCGCUAUCAGAUGAGCCUAGGUCGGAUUAGCUAGUUGGUGAGGUAAUGGCUCACAAAGGCGACGAUCCGUAACUGGUCUGAGAGGAUGAUCAGUCACACUGGAACUGACACGGUCCAGACUCCUACGGGAGGCAGCAGUGGGGAAUAUUGGACAAUGGGCGAAAGCCUGAUCCAGCCAUGCCGCGUGUGUGAAGAAGGUCUUCGGAUUGUAAAGCACUUUAAGUUGGGAGGAAGGGUUGUAGAUUAAUACUCUGCAAUUUUGACGUUACCGACAGAAUAAGCACCAGCUAACUCUGUGCCAGCCGCCGCCGUAA